rnacentral:rRNA from 2 species
UUAAAUUGAAGAGUUUGAUCAUGGCUCAGAUUGAACGCUGGCGGCAGGCCUAACACAUGCAAGUCGAACGGUAACAGGAAGCAGCUUGCUGCUUCGCUGACGAGUGGCGGACGGGUGAGUAAUGUCUGGGAAACUGCCUGAUGGAGGGGGAUAACUACUGGAAACGGUGGCUAAUACCGCAUAACGUCGCAGGACCAAAGAGGGGGACCUUCGGGCCUCUUGCCAUCAGAUGUGCCCAGAUGGGAUUAGCUUGUUGGUGAGGUAACGGCUCACCAAGGCGACGAUCCCUAGCUGGUCUGAGAGGAUGACCAGCCACACUGGAACUGAGACACGGUCCAGACUCCUACGGGAGGCAGCAGUGGGGAAUAUUGCACAAUGGGCGCAAGCCUGAUGCAGCCAUGCCGCGUGUAUGAAGAAGGCCUUCGGGUUGUAAAGUACUUUCAGCGGGGAGGAAGGUGUUGUGGUUAAUAACCGCAGCAAUUGACGUUACCCGCAGAAGAAGCACCGGCUAACUCCGUGCCAGCAGCCGCGGUAAUACGGAGGGUGCAAGCGUUAAUCGGAAUUACUGGGCGUAAAGCGCACGCAGGCGGUCUGUCAAGUCGGAUGUGAAAUCCCCGGGCUCAACCUGGGAACUGCAUUCGAAACUGGCAGGCUUGAGUCUUGUAGAGGGGGGUAGAAUUCCAGGUGUAGCGGUGAAAUGCGUAGAGAUCUGGAGGAAUACCGGUGGCGAAGGCGGCCCCCUGGACAAAGACUGACGCUCAGGUGCGAAAGCGUGGGGAGCAAACAGGAUUAGAUACCCUGGUAGUCCACGCCGUAAACGAUGUCUACUUGGAGGUUGUGCCCUUGAGGCGUGGCUUCCGGAGCUAACGCGUUAAGUAGACCGCCUGGGGAGUACGGCCGCAAGGUUAAAACUCAAAUGAAUUGACGGGGGCCCGCACAAGCGGUGGAGCAUGUGGUUUAAUUCGAUGCAACGCGAAGAACCUUACCUGGUCUUGACAUCCACGGAAGUUUUCAGAGAUGAGAAUGUGCCUUCGGGAACCGUGAGACAGGUGCUGCAUGGCUGUCGUCAGCUCGUGUUGUGAAAUGUUGGGUUAAGUCCCGCAACGAGCGCAACCCUUAUCCUUUGUUGCCAGCGGUCCGGCCGGGAACUCAAAGGAGACUGCCAGUGAUAAACUGGAGGAAGGUGGGGAUGACGUCAAGUCAUCAUGGCCCUUACGACCAGGGCUACACACGUGCUACAAUGGCGCAUACAAAGAGAAGCGACCUCGCGAGAGCAAGCGGACCUCAUAAAGUGCGUCGUAGUCCGGACUGGAGUCUGCAACUCGACUCCAUGAAGUCGGAAUCGCUAGUAAUCGUGGAUCAGAAUGCCACGGUGAAUACGUUCCCGGGCCUUGUACACACCGCCCGUCACACCAUGGGAGUGGGUUGCAAAAGAAGUAGGUAGCUUAACCUUCGGGAGGGCGCUUACCACUUUGUGAUUCAUGACUGGGGUGAAGUCGUAACAAGGUAACCGUAGGGGAACCUGCGGUUGGAUCACCUCCUUACCUGAAAGAA